CAUUUUUCAUAUGCAUGAAUGUAGCAGCUUGAGACGUCACACAAUUCCACACGAAUGCCCAUUCGUCCAAGAUCAGCUAAGAUGAACGAUGCAGAAAUCUUUUUAAGUCGAUGUUGCACUGCUAUUCCUUACUCAUACGAGACUAUGGAAAUGAGGUGGAGGGUUGGACUGACUACCGUACGGCAGGAUGACAGGAAUGAAGGAAAGCGGAUCUACUUCCCACCUUGUAGUAGCUAGGAGAGAAUGUGGCGAGCCGUGACAGCAUGUUGUCCCCCGGGCGUGUUUGCACAUGAUGGGCGAUGCACUAACAUUCCUGGCUACCGCUGCCUGUCCUCGUAUGCAACCCAGGCAUCUCCAGGAAAUGGCCCCAUUGUCCUUGGGAGAGGAUGAGGCCGCCAGUCCAGGACCGGACCAGCCCCAUCGGCUCACUGGCUGGAUUGAUGGAGAGUGUUGUAAAUUAUUAAUGGCUGUUUCCCUUAUGUGAGACACUGUAGUCUUGUGUUUAAUGUGGAAGAAUGGACAGUGGGAAGCAAUAUAGGAUCUCACCCCACAAGACAGAAUUAGACUACUCUGCUACAUUAAAACAUGUUCAAGUGAUUAUAGUGUUAAGAGGUUCAAGUACCAAUGAUUUUUUUGGUGGAUUAAUAUGGAUAAUAAUAUUGUCUAUAAAUCGGAUUGUUUAACAUGCAACAGCUAUGACAGAGUACGUGUGAUAAAUCUAUAAUGUCCUUUGUAACUCAGUUGGUAGAGCAUGUUGCUUGUAAAGCCAGGGCAGUGGGUUUGAUCCCAGUGCCAACAAUAUGUAAAAUGUAUGCAUGCAUGACUGUUGCUUUGGAUAAAAGCAUCUGCUAAAUGGCAUAUUAUACACUGCUCAAAAAAAUAAAGGGAAC